rnacentral:rRNA from 2 species
AUUGAACGCUGGCGGCAGGCCUAACACAUGCAAGUCGAGCGGUAACACAGAGAGCUUGCUCUCGGGUGACGAGCGGCGGACGGGUGAGUAAUGUCUGGGAAACUGCCUGAUGGAGGGGGAUAACUACUGGAAACGGUAGCUAAUACCGCAUAACGUCGCAAGACCAAAGUGGGGGACCUUCGGGCCUCAUGCCAUCAGAUGUGCCCAGAUGGGAUUAGCUAGUAGGUGGGGUAAUGGCUCACCUAGGCGACGAUCCCUAGCUGGUCUGAGAGGAUGACCAGCCACACUGGAACUGAGACACGGUCCAGACUCCUACGGGAGGCAGCAGUGGGGAAUAUUGCACAAUGGGCGCAAGCCUGAUGCAGCCAUGCCGCGUGUAUGAAGAAGGCCUUCGGGUUGUAAAGUACUUUCAGCGAGGAGGAAGGCAUUAAGGUUAAUAACCUUGGUGAUUGACGUUACUCGCAGAAGAAGCACCGGCUAACUCCGUGCCAGCAGCCGCGGUAAUACGGAGGGUGCAAGCGUUAAUCGGAAUUACUGGGCGUAAAGCGCACGCAGGCGGUCUGUCAAGUCGGAUGUGAAAUCCCCGGGCUCAACCUGGGAACUGCAUUCGAAACUGGCAGGCUAGAGUCUUGUAGAGGGGGGUAGAAUUCCAGGUGUAGCGGUGAAAUGCGUAGAGAUCUGGAGGAAUACCGGUGGCGAAGGCGGCCCCCUGGACAAAGACUGACGCUCAGGUGCGAAAGCGUGGGGAGCAAACAGGAUUAGAUACCCUGGUAGUCCACGCCGUAAACGAUGUCGACUUGGAGGUUGUGCCCUUGAGGCGUGGCUUCCGGAGCUAACGCGUUAAGUCGACCGCCUGGGGAGUACGGCCGCAAGGUUAAAACUCAAAUGAAUUGACGGGGGCCCGCACAAGCGGUGGAGCAUGUGGUUUAAUUCGAUGCAACGCGAAGAACCUUACCUACUCUUGACAUCCAGAGAACUUAGCAGAGAUGCUUUGGUGCCUUCGGGAACUCUGAGACAGGUGCUGCAUGGCUGUCGUCAGCUCGUGUUGUGAAAUGUUGGGUUAAGUCCCGCAACGAGCGCAACCCUUAUCCUUUGUUGCCAGCGAUUCGGUCGGGAACUCAAAGGAGACUGCCAGUGAUAAACUGGAGGAAGGUGGGGAUGACGUCAAGUCAUCAUGGCCCUUACGAGUAGGGCUACACACGUGCUACAAUGGCAUAUACAAAGAGAAGCGACCUCGCGAGAGCAAGCGGACCUCAUAAAGUAUGUCGUAGUCCGGAUUGGAGUCUGCAACUCGACUCCAUGAAGUCGGAAUCGCUAGUAAUCGUAGAUCAGAAUGCUACGGUGAAUACGUUCCCGGGCCUUGUACACACCGCCCGUCACACCAUGGGAGUGGGUUGCAAAAGAAGUAGGUAGCUUAACCUUCGGGAGGGCGCUUACCACUUUGUGAUUCAUGACUGGGGUG